CUCCCGUUCCUCCAUGGAAUUUGCACUACUUUUGCAUUUAUAGCUUAAAUUAAUCAACUUCUGUUGUGGAAGCUCUACCAACUUUUUCACAGGAUAAAUUAGGUUUUGGGCUAUUUCGUCGCUCCAACUUUGUUGCAUCAAGUUGCCGAACCUCUGGCUGAAUGAGUUUAUUCUGCUUCGUUGGAACUGAAGAAAGGGGGAAAUUUUACAAUGGUGUCUGAAUUGAAUUUUAGAAUUUUCGUGGGAAUUUAUUGUGAAAAAUGGAUUUUUACAGGAAUUUUAUUGUGACGGUUGGUAUAUAAAAAUUAUUUUUAUUAUUCUUUGUGGCGGGUAGGGGCUUAGUUACGUUCUUACGACUCUGUGUUCUGAAGAUUUUCUGGUAUUUGCAUCAAAACAGUGUGCUUCUAUUUUUGAUUUUUCGCAUAAUCUUUUCAACGUUAGUGGUAAUGCAUUGCAUUCGACAAACCUCAAAAUCAAAGUUUUAAAUAAUGAAGCUCUUGCAAUCAUUUUCAAGACUGAAUGGGAAAAUUGGCUUAUUGUGAUGAACACUUUUGUUGGUUAUUGCACAUUCACACACGUUAACAUAAUAACAAAUCCAAUAGGACCAGGGGAAGAGUUUGUUUUCAUUAAAAGAAUUACAUCUUGUUGUUACUGGUAUUCUACAGGUGCCUUAAUUAUCUUCUGAUCUUCUUAUUGAACUAUCUUUUCUAAAUGGUUUACAUCAUUAUAUGGAUUAAGUUUUUCCUGUCUUCCCUUGGAUGGACUGCUCUGUCAGUAAAGUAACAGACAUUUAGCUAUAUACAUGGCCAAUUAGUCAUUAGUGAAGCCGGAGUCAAUAAAGGUACUACUGGGAGAAAUUGAAACCUUUGCUUCACAUGAAAGGGAAAAUUUACUAAAAGAUGAGACUUCUAAGAGGAAGAACAACUUGCUUUGUUCCCUGCCAAUUCGUGACAAAUUUAGCAUUAUGCUACUAAGGGAUUAAGUUAAUCCACUUGAACUUACUUGGGAAUCUUGAAAUGAAUUAAUUCUAUAAAGAGAUAGCUUCAAGAAAUACUUCUUGCCCUGUGUCCUAAUUUCAGGAAGCUUUCAAUGUAACACAUUGGCUUUGCUUAUAACCGGACAAAUAGUAGGCUUAUCUUGCUUGACUACAAUGGUCCUAAGAUGCAUGAGGAUGAGGUUAUUUGCUUGUUGAUGUUGAUGUGAUUAGAAAACUUGGUGCUUACUGAUACUUCUUUUUGUCAAGUCGAUUCUUGCUUAGCCCUAUACCUCCAGAAAUUUUUAAGUAAAAUACUAUUCAUGGCAUGUUGGAAAUCUAAGUUUUUCUGUUGAUAAAAUAUAGGUGUGACAUAUUCUUGCUGCUUCCCAGGAAAAUCACUUUUGUCCUAAUGUUGGCAUGUACUGUUUUUGACUUACUAGAGUUUCUUAGUUGUGCUAAGGAUAGUAAACAACCUCUUUAUUAUUUAAAAGUUCUCAAAUAAGUUAAACUUGUUAUAGUGCUAUCUAGAAUUUUGUUAGAGAACUCAGAGGUAUGAAUGUCAAAAGCAUGUGGAUUUUUUCUUUUACCAUAUGAUGUUAGAGACAGAAAAAUUGUAAAGUUCACCAAAUUUUUCGUACUUUUUCUGUUAUCUUUGACAUGUAAAAUGAGUCACUAGCUUAGAUGAGUACUUUGUGCAGCUUUUUACUUCCUCUUUUAUCAUUAUUACACAUAAAAGUUCCAUUUUUCCCGCCUAUUGGAGCUCCUCCGAAGCCUUUUGAUUAUCAUUUGGUUAUUGCUCAAGCCAGUAUUGGUGGUUUGGUGUUGCUCUUUGCUUCUUGUGUUAAUUGCAAAAGCAAUAAAUUAUAAUGGUUAGGCAACCUUUUUAUACAGUUUGUUAAGAUAUACAAAUUAAUGUUUAUGUUCAGCUGAAUAUUAUACAAGGGCUACUUUGGCCUUCUCCAAAAGUUUACUGAAAGCUAGAGCAACUUGACCGGUGGUGCAAUAUAAGAACUCCUCGGUACAUACAAACCAGCAAUUAAUCUGCCUUCAGUCUGCUUCUGUUCAUCUUCUUUCUUUCUCCACUUCA